UACAGAGGGUGCUAGCGUUGUUCGGAAUCAUUGGGCGUAAAGGGCGUGUAGGCGGUUUGUUAAGUCAUGUGUGAAAUCCCUCGGCUCAACCGGGGAACGACGCAUGAAACUGGCAAGCUAGAGUACCAAAGAGGGGGGUGGAAUUCCCGGUGUAGCAGUGAAAUGCGUAGAGAUCGGGAGGAACAUCUGUGGCGAAGGCGACUGCCUGGACCAGCACUGACACUGAGGCACGAAAGCGUGGGGAGCAAACAGG
rnacentral:rRNA from 1 species